rnacentral:lncRNA from 1 species
CUUUCAGGUAAAUAUUUCUGGCAAAUAUCGAAGUUAUGUUCCACUUUCAAUCAGGUUUCUGAAUUUCGUUUUUUCACAAUUAAGUCGCUUCAUAUUAUUAUUUCAAUCAAAUCACUCCAUUCAAGUCUAUAGGUAACUUAACCAACAUAUGAUAUAGCAAUCAAUGUUGACCAUUACUUUGCUUAUGUCAUUACCACAUUAUUAUUUCAUUCGGUGAACCAACAGUAUAGCUAUUUCUUACCGCAUCGAUCUUCUCUCUUUUCUGAUUAAUCUGUUUCCAUUUGUAAUUAUUUCUUGGUUGUCAAUUUUCAGAUGGGAUGUCAAUGCAAUUGACCAACUUCCAGAUUACGUGCAAAUUUGUUAUCUAGCAGUCAUCAACUUCGUCAAUGAAAUAGCUUAUGAUGUUCUCACGGGAAAAGGGGUCCUAAUUAUUCCAUAUUUAAGAAAUGCCGUAUAACUUCACUUCAUAAAGUUAAAAAUACUUCUCCCUUUUAUUCUUUAGUCACUUGAAUAUUUUAGAAAUCUAUGAAAUGCAUUCAUAUGGUAUAGUAUGAUCAGUCGAUCACACUGUAUUUCAUAUUCUAGUACUGCUAAUAUUUAUUUAUCAAAUUCGGUUUUUAUUUUUCUAGUAUAUGAGUUGACUUUACAAUUCUUACAACGUUGAGCAUUAUUACAGUGGACAGAUAUAUGCAAAGAAUACUUACAAGAGGCUAAGUGGUACUUCAAUGGACACACACCAACACUGGAAGAAUAUAUGGAAAAUGCACGGAUAACAAUAUCAUCUCAUGUGAUAAUGUCUCAUGCUUUUUUUAUUAUCACCAAUCCUAUGGAGAAAGAAGCAGUUGAGUACUUACAAAAAUAUCCUGGUGUAAUUCGAUGGUUGGCAACAAUUUUACGGCUUGCAGAUGAUUUAGCUGCAUCAUCGGUACGUACAUCGUGAGCCAUAUAUAGCAGAAUUUAAUAUUCAUUUCAUGUUUAAGUUCCUU